AUUGAACGCUGGCGGCAGGCCUAACACAUGCAAGUCGAGCGGAUGAAGGGAGCUUGCUCCUGGAUUCAGCGGCGGACGGGUGAGUAAUGCCUAGGAAUCUGCCUGGUAGUGGGGGAUAACGUCCGGAAACGGGCGCUAAUACCGCAUACGUCCUGAGGGAGAAAGUGGGGGAUCUUCGGACCUCACGCUAUCAGAUGAGCCUAGGUCGGAUUAGCUAGUUGGUGGGGUAAAGGCAUACCAAGGCGACGAUCCGUAACUGGUCUGAGAGGAUGAUCAGUCACACUGGAACUGAGACACGGUCCAGACUCCUACGGGAGGAAACAGUGGGGAAUAUUGGACAAUGGGCGAAAGCCUAAUCCAGCCAUGCCGCGUGUGUGAAGAAGGUCUUCGGAUUGUAAAGCACUUUAAGUUGGGGGGAAGGGCAGUAAGUUAAUACCUUGCUGUUUUGACGUUACCAACAGAAUAAGCACCGGCUAACUUCGUG
rnacentral:rRNA from 1 species